GGGCCCGCACAAGCGGUGGAGCAUGUGGUUUAAUUCGACGCAACGCGCAGAACCUUACCAGCCCUUGACAUGCCCGUCGGGAGAUCCAGAGAUGGGUCUUUUCAUUUAGUUGGACGGUGCACAGGUGCUGCAUGGCUGUCGUCAGCUCGUGUCGUGAGAUGUUGGGUUAAGUCCCGCAACGAGCGCAACCCUCGCCUUCAGUUGCCAUCAUUUAGUUGGGCACUCUGAAGGGACUGCCGGUGACAAGCCGGAGGAAGGUGGGGAUGACGUCAAGUCCUCAUGGCCCUUACGGGCUGGGCUACACACGUGCUACAAUGGCGGUGACAAUGGGAUGCGAAAGCGCGAGCCGGAGCAAAUCCCAAAAAUCCGUCUCAGUUCGGAUUGCACUCUGCAACUCGAGUGCAUGAAGUCGGAAUCGCUAGUAAUCGCGCAACAGCAUGGCGCGGUGAAUACGUUCCCGGGCCUU
rnacentral:rRNA from 1 species